rnacentral:rRNA from 1 species
AUUGCAGGCUGCAACUCGCCUGUAUGAAGUUGGAAUUGCUAGUAAUCGCGGAUCAGCAUGCCGCGGUGAAUACGUUCCCGGGCCUUGUACACACCGCCCGUCACACCAUGAGAGCCGGUAAUACCCGAAGUCAGUAUCCUAACCGCAAGGAGGGAGCUGCCGAAGGUAGGAUUGGCGAUUGGGGUGAAGUCGUAACAAGGUAAC